UAUACUAUAGUUUAUAAUAAAACAUUUUAUUUUCAAUAAAAAGAAAAUUUCCAUUUAGUAUAA
rnacentral:tRNA from 1 species